CCGCUGUUCCGUUGUGAGCGAACGCUUGAGGUUACAAUUUGGUUUGGUCUUUCAGCUUGCAGAUGUGCCAAUCUUUAAAAGCACCCGGGGAUGUUCUUUCUGGAAGUUAUGAGGUAUUCAGAGCAGCUCCCACAGAGACAAAAAACAUGCAGAGGAAGUUGCAGCAGCAGCUGCAGAUUCACAGGAUCAACGUCCUAACUUAUCUAAAUUUUUGAUGGCAGAUUUGGUUAAUCUACAAACACUGAAGAAGAAACAAAGACGUCAGAACAUGAAAAAUAUAUGUGAAUAAAACAUUAAAAAAUACUUUCACUGAAGUUCGCUGCAGUCCAAAACCGCUUCCGUCCUCAUGAAUCUCUAUUUCAGGUGUGUUUGCCUGUCGUCUGUGACAAAAUCUGGCCGAGCCGGUCGGGUGAAGAACGACAC
ensembl:lncRNA